GUUCUUGUAGUGAACAACAACGGUGUUUCUUCAAGUCCCUGGUCUCGGUUAAAAUCCGAGCAAGAAUU